rnacentral:rRNA from 1 species
AAUGUGAUCAUUGAUCAAGAACGAAAGUCAGAGGUUCGAAGGCGAUCAGAUACGGCCCUAGUUUAGACCAUACACGAUGCCAACCAGCGAUCCGCCUGAGUUACUCAAUUGACUCAGCGGGCAGCUUCCGUGAAACCAAAGUAUUUGGGUUCCGUGGGAAGUAUGGUUGCAAAGAUGAAACUUAAAGGAAUUGACGGAAGGGCACCACCAGGAGUGGAGCGUGCGGGUUAAUUUGACUCAACACGGGAAAACUUACCCGGCCCGGACACUGGGAGGAUUGACAGAUUGAGAGCUCUUUCUUGAUUCGGUGGAUGGUGGUGCAUGGCCGUUCUUAGUUGGUGGAGCGAUUUGUCUGGUUAAUUCCGAUAACGAACGAGACUCUAGCCUAUUAAAUAGGUGCGGGGUUCCCAGCACCUUACAACCUUCUUAGAGGGACAAGCGGCUCCUAGCCGCACGAAACAGAGCAAUAACAGGUCUGUGAUGCCCUUAGAUGUCCGGGGCCGCACGCGCGGUACACUGAAGGAAGCAGCGUGUCUUUAUCCCUGUUUGAAAAGACUGGGUAACCCGUGGAACUUCUUUUGUGAUUGGGAUAGGGGCUUGCAAUUGUUCCCCUUGAAUGAGGAAUUCCCAGUAAGCGCGAGUCAUAAGCUCGCGUUGAUUACGUCCCUGCCCUUCGUACACACCGCCCGUCGGUACUACCGAUUGAAUGAUUUAGUGAGGUCUUCGGACCGAUGUCCGGCGCGGCCUUUCGGUUGCGCCGGUCAUUUAACAAGAUGUAACCUGGUUGAUCAAUAUAACUAGGUGAUCGUGCCAGAGUUUG